rnacentral:rRNA from 1 species
CCUACGGGAGGCAGCAGUGGGGGAUAUUGCACAAUGGGGGGAACCCUGAUGCAGCGACGCCGCGUGGGUGAAGAAGCGCCUCGGCGCGUAAAGCCCUGUCAGCAGGGAAGAAAAUGACGGUACCUGAAGAAGAAGCCCCGGCUAACUACGUGCCAGCAGCCGCGGGAAUACGUAGGGGGCAAGCGUUAUCCGGAUUUACUGGGUGUAAAGGGGGCGCAGACGGCGAUGCAAGCCAGGAGUGAAAGCCCGGGGCCCAACCACGGGACUGCUCUUGGAACUGCGUGGCUGGAGUGCAGGAGGGGCAGGCGGAAUUCCUGGUGUAGCGGUGAAAUGCGUAGAUAUCAGGAGGAACACCGGUGGCGAAGGCGGCCUGCUGGACUGCAACUGACGUUGAGGCCCGAAAGCGUGGGGAGCAAACAGGAUUAGAUACCCCAGUAGUC